CCAUGCAGUGGGAAGGAAAGCAGAGGCUCUCUGAAGGCAAAAUGAAGAGCUGUGACAAUGAAAAGGAAGAUCUGGGUGAAUAUUUCCGUACCAUAGGAGCCAUGGAAAGAGGCUCCGAGUGCUCAUCUGGGAACCACCUGGUUGGUUCAAGAGAAAUGAAGGACGCAGUCAUUGCUCGGCAUGGUAAUAUGCAGCAGGGAGUCAGAUGACUUGGUCAAUUGUGUCGUUUCCC